rnacentral:rRNA from 1 species
GGAGCCUUUAAAGCUUGCUUGAAGAUGAGCCUGCGGGCGCAUUAGCUAGUUGUGGGGUAAUGGCCUACCAAGGCAACGAUGCGUAGCCGACCUGAGAGGGUGAUCGGCCACACUGGGACUGAGACACGGCCCAGACUCCUACGGGAGACAGCAGUUAGGAAUAUUCGUCAAUGGGGGAAACCCUGAACGAGCAAUGCCGCGUGAAGGAUGACGGUCCUCUGGAUUGUAAACUUCUGUUGUUAGGGAAGAACGACCUGUAUAGGAAAUGAUACAGGAGUGACGGUACCUUUCAAGAAAGCUCCGGCUAACUACGUG